rnacentral:rRNA from 1 species
CAUGCAGUCGAGCGGGCAUAGCAAUAUGUCAGCGGCAGACGGGUGAGUAACGCGUGGGAACGUACCUUUUGGUUCGGAACAACUGAGGGAAACUUCAGCUAAUACCGGAUAAGCCCUUACGGGGAAAGAUUUAUCGCCGAAAGAUCGGCCCGCGUCUGAUUAGCUAGUUGGUGAGGUAAUGGCUCACCAAGGCGACGAUCAGUAGCUGGUCUGAGAGGAUGAUCAGCCACAUUGGGACUGAGACACGGCCCAAACUCCUACGGGAGGCAGCAGUGGGGAAUAUUGGACAAUGGGCGCAAGCCUGAUCCAGCCAUGCCGCGUGAGUGAUGAAGGCCCUAGGGUUGUAAAGCUCUUUUGUGCGGGAAGAUAAUGACGGUACCGCAAGAAUAAGCCCCGGCUAACUUCGUGCCAGCAGCCGCGGUAAUACGAAGGGGGCUAGCGUUGCUCGGAAUCACUGGGCGUAAAGGGUGCGUAGGCGGGUCUUUAAGUCAGGGGUGAAAUC